AGUCGUAACAGGUUUCCGCACGACCCUUUCGCGGGUGCGUCCACCGAAACCUUAGCGUGGGCUUGCGGGGCUUCCGCCCCCGGCCCUGGUCCGCGACUGUAAACAAUCGACCCACGCUGGUCUGCCCUGGCGCAGACGACACCGUUCCAGUGCGGGAACGCUUUUUCAUCGAAGCAACCCGCAGCCGUGGGGAUUCGUCCCGGCGGCCCACAGACUAAGUGGCGGUGGGCGCGAGGCCCCGUGGUCGGGCCGGCGCUUCAGAUAUAGCCGAGUGUCCUGGAUCGCUUCAGGAUAGCGCACGUUCCGUAGGUGAACCUGCGGAAGGAUCAUUAAAG
rnacentral:rRNA from 1 species